GGGGAGAGCUUGCUUUCCCGCUGACGACCGGCGAACGGGUGCGUAACACGUAUGCAACCUACCCUUCACAGGAGGACAGCCCCGAGAAAUCGGGAUUAAUACUCCAUAACAUCACGGAUUCGCAUGUUUCUGUGAUCAAAGUUCCGGCGGUGAAGGAUGGGCAUGCGGCCUAUUAGUUUGUUGGUGAGGUAACGGCUCACCAAGACUACGAUAGGUAGGGGGUCUGAGAGGAUGAUCCCCCACACUGGUACUGAGACACGGCCCAAACUCCUACGGGAGGCAGCAGUGGAGAAUCUUGCACAAUGGAGGAAACUCUGAUGCAGCGAUGCCGCGUGAGUGAAGAAGGCCCUUGGGUUGUAAAGCUCUUUCGUCGGGGAAGAAAAUGACUGUACCCGAAUAAGAAGGUCCGGCUAACUUCGUGCCAGCAGCCGCGGUAAU
rnacentral:rRNA from 1 species